ACUCUUCCUCGCGGUGUGAAGGCUCCUCCUUGCUGUGGCUCCUCUUGUUUUGGAGCACAGGCUCUAGUCACGCGGGCUUCAGUAGUAGAGGCCCUAAGAGCGUGAGGCUCAGCAGUUACGGUGCACGGGCUUAGUUGCUCUGUGGCAUGUGGAAUCUUCCCCGACCAGGGAUCAAACAUGUGUCCCUUGCAUUGGAAGGCAGAUUUCUUAUCCACGGCACCACCGGGGGAGUCCCUCCAUCAUGUCUUAAGUUCUCUUCAUGGACACUGGUCUUAUUUCACUCUAUAAACACUGCUUAAGCACUGGCAUGAUUUGGAACACACUGGCAGAAAAUCUAAGGACUGUCAUCAGCCAAGAGUCCCAAAUCAGAACCUAGUCUUAGGAUGUAGAAAGCUAUAUGGGACCAUCAUUCCCACCACGAAGAUGAGAAGAAGCUGGAUAACCAACAAAAGUCGUAGCUUUGCUGUUUGACCCCAUCUGAGAGCUAAGAUCACAAGGCAAUCUAAUGAUGUGAAAGAAACCCACCUUCCUCCUAGGAAAGAAGAGGUAUAUGGUUAACUCACAACUUGGUGACUGAACAACAGCAACAACAAUGAUUAACUCCAUCUUUUGCAGGGGAGAGAGAGGAGGAAGGAGCUCCCAUAAACAUAGGUAAGAAGAAAAGAAACUUUUACUGAAUAUUUAAAAGUCUCAAUGUGGGCUGUGUGGCAAUCUCAAUGACUGGAACCCAGUCACAAAGGGAGUCUGUGCCAGCUCUUUUCCAUGGGCCUUCGCUCAAUGUUUGUGAAAAGAUUAAAGCAAGCGUCCCCAACAUCCAGGCCAUGAGCCAGUACAGGUUCCUGGCCUGUUAACAACCAGGUCACAUAGGAAGAGGUGAGUGGUGAGCUAAUGAGCAAAGCUUCCUCUAUAUUUACAGCUGUUCUCCAUUGCUUUCCCAUCACCCCCAGAUGUAAUCAUCUAGUUGCAGGAAAACAAGCUCAGGGAGCUCACUGAUUCUGCAUUAUGGUGAGUUGUAUAAUUAUUUCAUUAUAUAUCACAAUGUAAUAAUAAUAGAAAUAAAGUGUACGAUAAAUAUAAUAUGCUUGAAUCAUCCUGAAACCACCCUCCAGCUGCACCAGUCUGUGGAAAAAUUGUCUUCCACAAGAUCAGUCCCUGGUGCUAAAAAGAAGGGGACCACUGGAUUAAAGACAGCAAGAGGGCUGAGGUAGGUCCUUUACAGGUAUCCUGGUCAUCAAACAUAGUAGGAGACAGGAUUUGUCUUCUCAGAGAGCUGGGAGGGUGUUAGGGAACUUAAAAUAGAGGAAGUCUUGUUCAGACUUCAGAAACAGGAGAGCAGGCCUCUGACCUGCCUGGAUACUGCCUGAAUUCCAUGCUUGCCGGCAAGCACAGCAAGUCAGGAGGCACUUUAGAUAAGAAAGGGAGUGAGUCUUGGAAUUUUUGAGCCCCUGGAGAUCUGGCCAACCCUCCACCCGCCACCCCCCCUCCCCCCACCCCCCCCCCCCUCCCGCCUGCUCCCAGGUCUAACAAAAUCCUAUGACUCAUUGAAGCAAACAGCAUUGUAGAAAGGUUAAAAGGAAAACCAGAGCUGCAUUUUUGCAUACGAACUAUUGAUGAUGAUUUCAGUUUGUGGCCUGGGAUGAUAAACAGGA